CAGGUCCUAACAGGCAACACCAGUAGCGAACCUCAACCAUUAGCGUUAAUGCCAAAAUUUGACGAUCAAUGUCAUACCACCCCUACAUAUGAAGGAAAUAACAAUAAAAAAAAGAAGGGAAAAUAAAACCAACCUCAAUGUGAGCGAUCAUCAAGUUUUGCGCCAACUGAUCACUCACAUGGAAGUAUGCCCCCAAACUAAACACCACGGGGCAACAACAUACAACAAUGAGAGACGAUCAGUAAUUUAUCUAGCUGACACGAAUACUGAACAGAAGUAUUCUUUCCAACCCCGAUGUAAGCGAUCAUCAAGUUUUGCCCCAAGCUGAUCGCACACACCAGGGUACGCCUCUAUCUGUAAAGCGCAAUGAACAUAAAACAACCAAACGAUUCAGAAGAAAAAUAAAGGGGUGAAACAACUGAAUCGAGACAACACUCGCAACCGUCAAAUAGAGAGAGAACCAGUUAGCAGGAAAAUCCAAUUAAGCUAACUAACGACAUCAGCAUCGGAGCUAAAGCGGCCGGAAUGCAUAGGUUUUAGAUCUUGGACAUGCCAUACGCCUUUACUGACACCGGACUCGUCCUGAAGCUCGUAGGUACAAGUACCUGUCCUUUUGCCUAUUAUAAACGGGCCCACAUAUUUCGGAGGUAACUUGGCACUAAAAUAAUUUAAGGCAUUGGAUAUUACCUUGUUUCUUGGAAGAACCUUUUCGCCAACAACAUACGUAACAGGACGCCUCCGCAGAUUGUAUCUAUUCCGAUAUUCCCAACAGGCUGAUGCAAUCCUCCGACUAAUUCGCUCAUACAUCUCCCGAUAACCCUGGACCCGACUCUGAACAUGAUGUUGCGGUUCAGUAUUGGCCGACGGAACUCCUGGAACAAAAUCGUUUCCAAACAAAACUUGUUCUCUUCAAAAAUUUACGAAAUAAGGGCUGUACCCUCUUACCUCAUGACGUGCGGUCCGUAUGGCACAAUCAAUGGCCGGCAAGUUAUCUUCCCACGAUCGGUGAUUGUCCUGUUGUACGUAGGACUUAAACAUGGUUUUGAUCACGCGAUUAGUCCGCUCUGGGUGAUCAGCUCGAGGAUAGUACGAUGCGGUGUAAAAUAAAUUAACUUUGUACCUAGCACAGAGAGACUGAAACUCUUUGGAUUUCAUAGGGGUGCAAUUGUCGCAUGUUAAGUGUUGCGGAGCUCCAUACACCAAAAAGAUUUCCUGCUCUACGAAUAUCACCAAGGCUUUAGAAUUAGCCGAACGGCAUGCAAACAGGACUACGUAUUUGCUGAAGUAAUCCGCCACGACAAGGAUGUGGGUAUUGCCUUGUUUCGAGCGAGGCAAGGGGCUAACAAAAUCGAGGCUGAUGGACUGCUAGGGUUGAGUAAUUGGUGGUCGAUUUCCCAUUAACCCAGCGGGAGGCUUUUGCUCAACUUUAGACUGAGCACAAACUUCGCAACGGCGAACGUAAAUGAUAACAUCGGAUCUAAUUUGCGGCCAAUAGUAGCGUUCAGCGAUCCUCAUAAACGUCUUGUAUAUUCCCAGACGACCAGAAGUUGGGAGGUCGUGACAUCGAUGAAGAAUAUAUUUCCGGUGAUCUUUGGGGACUACCAGUUUCCAGCGAUUUGUUCAAUUGGGGAACUCAGGGUGCCCAGAGCCAAUCAGCUUGUACAAAAGACUAUCCUCAAUUCGCCAACAAGAAUAUUUCUCAGGAUGUUCCUCCAGUCUGUGGAUCAUCAGCUGAUACCAUUUAUCCGUCGAAUUCGACCAAGCGGGUGGAACGCAAUCCUGCACGGAGCGAUACCCUCGACACUAACAGGCACAGGCCGAUAGAGAAAAUCGGGUACGACGUGGUCUUUACCUUUCCUAUGGAUCAGCCUGAAGUCGUACGGUUAAAGCCGAAGAGCCCUACGAGCAAGCCGUCCUUGGGGAUUCUUCAAAUUGUGCAACUACAGAAGAGAAUGAUGAUGACAGCAUUCUUUCUCAGUGACCGUCAGUUUCAUCUCCUGGCGGGUGAGAGAACGAGAAAGGUAACUAAUAACCUUUUCGCCAGCAUCGAAGGUUUGCGUCAGAACCGCUCCCAGACCAUAAUGAGAAGCAUCGGUUUGCAAGACAAAUUUGCGUUCGAAAUCAGGACAAGUAAGAAUUGAGGCUGUGAUGAGGGAGUCUUUGAUGGAAUUAAACGCCCUCUGACAAUAGUCCGACCACCUAAACGUAACCUUUUUCUUGAUCAAGUUGGUUAAUGGUUCCAAGACUGAAGAUAAAUUUGGCACGAAUCCUCGAUACCAAGAAGCAGUGCAAAUAAAACGACGAAUCUCGGUAACACUUCGUGGAGGGGUGAUGUUAACAAUGGCCUGCACCUUUUCAGGAUCCGGUCUCAGGCCAUGGGAGUCUAGCAAAUAGCCGAGAUACUUCAUCUCGGGUUUACGGAAAUGACACUUGUCUUUCCGAACCACUAAUACGGCGCCUUUCAGCCGAUCGAACACAAGGGCCAGAAUCUUUAAAUGUUCUUCAAAUCUUUGGGAGAUAAUGACAAUGUCAUCCAAGUAAACCACGACGUAAUUCUCCAAAUCGACCCCCAAAACGCGGUCAAUAAGGCGUUGCCAUGUGGCAGGAGCAUUGGUGAAGCCAAAGGGCAUCCUUUUAAAAUGAUACAGAUUUUGACCUGGGACAGUAAAAACAGUAAGUUCUCCAGAAGACUUCUCAAGAGGCAUCUGCCAAAAGGCUGAUUUAAUGUUCAAGGAACUUAUGUAACGAGCAUUGCGAAGACGAUCCAAAAUAGCCAAAAUAUAGGAUAUUGGGUAAGAAUCCUUAUUAGUGACGGAAUUCAACUUUCAAACAUUAAUGCAGAAGCGAUAUGAGUCGUCCUUCUUUCGAACUAAACAAACUGGACUUUUGGAUGGUUCGAUGACUCUCAGCUUAAGCAUCUCGUCGAUCUCGGUAUCGAUCAAUUUUUGCUUGAAAGGGGACACCGGAUAAUAACGCUGCUUAAUGGGUUUUACAGCAGGCAUAAUCUCGAUGUUAUGUUGAGACACGGUGCAACACCCAAGUCCAGUACCCAUGGCAACCAUUUUCCCCCUAACGAGCUCAUGAAGGAGCAGCUUCUCCUUCUCGGACAAAAGUUGGGCAUCGAUUGGAUUGCAGGAAAUUUUAGGUGUUGGAUUUCCUGCAGUGCGAAACAUCUCGAUUCAAAUCAGGGAUUAUCCCCAUAGUCUUCCAGAAAUACACUCCCAAGAUUAAAGAGUGUGACACCUCGGAGAGAUACAAAACCUCGACACAAUGAGUCUUGCCCCUCAGAGACAUGGGGACACAAAAGUAACCAGCACUAGAACAUUUUUGGCCAUUAGCAACGGUACAAACGCUGUGUUGAGAAAUGAGUUUCAGGCCAAGCUCACCAGCACAUCAUACCCAGACCGACCUACGAGUCCAACAAACCCAACAUAGGACAACUCAGGACAGAAAUCUCCAAGUAGGGACGCUCGUCGCCAUUUGCGUGAGCGAGAAUAAAAUCGAGAGCAACUCGGCCAGGAAAGAAACAAGAGUCGUUUUUAAUGAGAGUUGGUGUAAACUCAGGACGGGAGGUACCCAACCGACCUAUUGGGAUCUCCGAGGUCCGUUUCCCGAAGCAGGGCAAUUCGGACAAGUGGUUAGUGUCACAACCG